CGAGCGAGUCUGCCUUGAAGAUGGGAGUGCUUGCACUCUGUGAAACAAGAUACAGGCUAGCGGCGGACGGGUGAGUAACACGUGGGUAACCUGCCCAAGAGAUCGGGAUAACACCUGGAAACAGAUGCUAAUACCGGAUAACAACAGAUGAUGCCUAUCAACUGUUUAAAAGAUGGUUCUGCUAUCACUCUUGGAUGGACCUGCGGUGCAUUAGCUAGUUGGUAGGGUAACGGCCUACCAAGGCGAUGAUGCAUAGCCGAGUUGAGAGACUGAUCGGCCACAUUGGGACUGAGACACGGCCCAAACUCCUACGGGAGGCAGCAGUAGGGAAUCUUCCACAAUGGACGCAAGUCUGAUGGAGCAACGCCGCGUGAGUGAAGAAGGGCUUCGGCUCGUAAAGCUCUGUUGUUGGUGAAGAAGGACAGGGGUAGUAACUGACCUUUGUUUGACGGUAAUCAAUUAGAAAGUCACGGCUGACUACGUGCCAGCAGCCGCGGUAAUACGUAGGUGGCAAGCGUUGUCCGGAUUUAUUGGGCGUAAAGCGAGUGCAGGCGGCUCGAUAAGUCUGAUGUGAAAGCCUUCGGCUCAACCGGAGAAUUGCAUCAGAAACUGUCGAGCUUGAGUACAGAAGAGGAGAGUGGAACUCCAUGUGUAGCGGUGAAAUGCGUAGAUAUAUGGAAGAACACCGGUGGCGAAGGCGGCUCUCUGGUCUGUUACUGACGCUGAGGCUCGAAAGCAUGGGUAGCGAACAGGAUUAGAUACCCUGGUAGUCCAUGCCGUAAACGAUGAGUGCUAAGUGUUGGGAGGUU
rnacentral:rRNA from 1 species